UUUUGUCUUUGUUAUAUUUUUCACUGUUGAGAUCAAAUCUCAAAUUACAUUGCAUGAUAAUGUGAAUUACUAUCUAUAAUCUUUGUGAUCGAUUAUAUAUUGAUCCUUUUAUUAGUUGCGACCAGAAACUUCAAGCAGUUUUGAGUUGUAUUCGAUUCCACACAAAUGGCAAAAGCGGUUCUACCGGUCUUAGAGAAAGCCAUUUUUACUGCAUUUUUCAACGCGGCCGAUAAGAAUAAAGAUGGAUACCUGUCAAUAACCGAAUUAGACAGUGUUGUUGCUCAACUUGGACUUAAUUUAUCAAUGGCGGAGAUACAGACUACUUUUACUGAUAUGGACACCAAUAAGGACUGGAAGAUUAGUUUGGAAGAAUUUCUGAACGGAAUGCAAUAUCUAGACCCAAACAAACGCAAAGCCGCCAUGGACGUUGCUACAAAAUGAUAGACAAUAUACUCUUAAUAUUUCUUCAGCUGUUUUCCAACAUUUUUAAAUAUAUACAUUAUUUUCGUUGUUGUACCCGCCAAUUUAUGGUUUCAAUAAUAAUAAUUUUUAAAAAAUCAGUGUAAUAAAAAUACGCCUAAGAAGUGUUUGUAUUUGUAUCAGAUUAGUGUUAUAUUAUUAACAUAACAGUACAUGGACCAAGCUGUGGUUUUGGUUUAUAUGUCUAUACCUUUGGCAGAAAAAUAAAUCUAGGAACCGUGGAAGAAUUGGUCACAGUAAGUUUCAGAUUAGGACACAAUGUUCGAAACCAUAUUGUGUUGUUGGUAUAUGUUUUAGACGAUGCUUCUUGUAACAUCAAGUAUUAUUGUAUCUGAGACCAUCCGGUAGUUUAUAAAUAUAUUUUAAUGGGAUGAUGCCCACUACGAAAAUAAGUUUUUGUAUUAAUCGCCGCAUAUAAUUCACGAAUAGGGCAUCCUGUUAAAUAUUCAUCUUGUCGGUAAUUGUAAAGCAAUUUAAUUUUAAUAAAUGUUCAUCGAAAUGUU